AUUUGAUUUCAUCCAACUUACAGGUUUUACAGGUGAACAACAAUUAGCAACUCCCGAUCGAAUUGCACACAACAACCACCCACAAUCACAGCUGUAAAAGUAACACGGAUAGGUAGCAAGGAAAUCAAGCUUGUACACAGAAAUCUACACAAAAACUGGGUUUUAUAAGCGCACGAAAAGCGACGCGGCUAUCUUUGAAUAAAAAGUAAACAAAAGAGUUUCGUUUUAAUUUAAUUUUGAUAGCGGGUGUGGUGAUGGCUUGAGCGAUUUGGAACAAUCAUUCUCCGGACAGGAUUCGAUCCGAUCCGUGACGUCACUGAGCGCCGGUUCAUUUAAAGCUUCUUCUCUGAGUUCUGCUUAUGCCAACAAGCAAAGUUGAAGCAGAGAAGAAGCUGUGGCGGUUCCCUACUAGCAAUGAGAAUGAAAAAGUGUGCAACUUUCAGGCGAGGGGCAUGUAGAAGCAUGGGGAGACGGUUGGAAAUACGCAGAAUUACGCGGAGGCGCGAGCGUAUUUUGGUUUCUACACAGUUUUUGCACUCACACAAUUACACAUGUGUGAAUGUGUGCGUUCACUUUCAGCCUGCGCGCUCAGUUUGGUUUUCUCGCAGCGGCAUGCGGGUAUCGGUGUCUCGCUCGCACUAGUGCAGCGAGUGUUUUCUGUGCGCUCCCCUUCUUGCCACCACACGAAAUCGUCAGUUCAGCUCAAGCGUUCGCCGUGAAAGGCUGCGCGCGUGUUAGCCUAAGUCCCGGGCGAUCGAAGUUUCGCUAAGUGUUGAAGUGUUGUGCACAUUGAAAUGAAGCUGCACUUUUCUUUCACCAUUAGUAUCUUAAAUGUGUGAUUUGCGCUGCUUUAUUUCAAUGUUUAUUUUUGCUGUAUCGAACAUCAACAACGGUAUCCACGCAGUUAGACGGCUCUUUGAAAUACGACGAUUUUUUUAUAUUAAGAAUUUGUGUGAUUUUGUGGCAAGAUUGUGUGAAGCAAUGUAUUAAAAUGUGCUUUUAUUUGCAAUAAAAGUGAUAAAAUGUAAACCAAGUUUGAUGUGUUAAAGUUUUUGUUUUGAUUCGGGUGCACCAAGUCCGAAUGAAGGAAAGCGCACAGCGCGCUACGAAAGAAACGAGCGGGAGGGGGUGUCAGUCCAGCGCAGCGCAAUUCGCUGGAAUCAAGUGGGAGGGGGUACCAGUUCAGCGCAGCGCGCUACGAAAGAAACAGGGAGGAAGGGGUAUGAUGAAACAGCGCGAGCGAGCGUUCUUUACAGCGAGAGCGCCUCGUGUAUUUUAAAGGCAAGCAAGAGAGCGCAUUCUCUCCGUGGUAGCGCUCCAUCCGCCAUUUUUAAUUCUCAGCCCAAAACAACGGACUUCGGAUCCGUGCUUGGGCCGGACCCCCACCGCGUGUUUCUACCUACCCCUCGCCUGAAAAUUUCGUUCUCUUUGUCUGUCGGGUUUCCAUACAAACUCUCUCUGAGAUUGUUGAAAGGGAUCGCAGCGAGCAGAUCAAACUGAGCGAGCUGGCCGAAAAUGAACGCACACAUUUCCACAUGUGUUGCUGUGUUAGUGUCAAAAAUGUGUAUAAACCAAAACGCGCUCUCGCAUCUUUGUAUUUUACACCGUUACACACACCAUGAUAAAAUAUCCCGCUACGUAUGGUACAGUAUCGGACAAAAAGAUAGGGCAUUUUUUUCAUCGCACCGUGCACUUGUUUUACCACGUUACUUGUGUGUGUGUGUGUGUGUGUGUGUGUGUGUGUGUGUGUGUGUGUGUGUGUGUGUGUGUGUGUGUGUGUGUGUGUGUGUGUGUGUGUGUGUGUGUGUGUGUGUGUGUGUGUGUGUGUGUGUGUGUGUGUGUGUGUGUGUGUGUGUGUGUGUGUGUGUGUGUGUGUGUGUGUAUGUAUGUGUGUAAGAAAGAGAGUGUGUUUGUUAAUGUGUAUGUGCGUGUAUGUGCGAGUGCGCGGGUGUGUGUCUGAAGAAACAUAGCUUGACCUGAUGUGAUAUUGCGUCAAAGGUAUUCUGAUAAUGUGUGUUAUCAUGUGAAACAGCGUGCGUUCACACUUGGAUAAAAGCUAAGGUUUGCAUGGACAGCAGCGCUUGUUCAGACGAGAACGCAGGUGUGCUGUUUCAUGAAUGUGAAUGCGAAAGCGGUGCGAAAUGGAAACGCGAACAAUUGCAAUGAGAUCGGCAUUCCCUCACAGGUGUUUCUCCAGUGCACGCCAUUGAAAGGCCUGCGUGCAUCUCUGCGUUGAACCUCGUGUGUGCAUGGGAAACUUUGAGUGUGCAUUGAGCAAGCGCGCUGGUGUUCUUUUCAAUGGGCGUUUUGUGUCAUGAGCGCGGCAGUAUUCUGUUCUCGACUUGAAUUGGUAGACGCUCGCUCGCUUACUCAUUGAUAGUUUUAAUCCAUACGCUUUUUUCGCUGCUCGACAAUGAUGUGAUUCAUCGCGUAUAAAAGUAGAACGCAGGCAGUGCACUGCAUCAGCCCUGGCCAAGUUUUUAACCAGUGCGUUCUUGACGGUCCAAGCAAGGAAUUUUAGCAACAAUGGGUCGAGGUAAACAUUGUACCGAUUAUCAGCGCCAUAUCAUAAAGCGAAUGGCGGUUGCUGGCAUUAAGCGCAGAACGAUCGAGUUCGUGAUGGAACGAUCACACACUUUUGUGGCAAACGCGCUUCGGACAACCGAAGUGCGCAAGUCAACCGGACGUCCUAGGAAGACCACGGUUGAGGAAGACCGUAAGAUUGUUAAUAUAUCAAAGAAACACUGUUCGCGAGGGCGGUGGUGCUGCUAAUUAAAACAAAAACCUAACCCAAAAAACAAAAAAAACUACAAACAAAUCUAUCCGAAAUGACACACACACACACACACACACACACACACACACACACACACACACACACACACACACACACACACACACACACACACACACACACACAAAAA